rnacentral:lncRNA from 1 species
UCACGGCAAGGGGGGGGACAAUCACACAUAUCCUUUCUUUUUUUUGUUUCUCAUCCUACUAACACUAAUAUUUUAUUGCCCAUGCUCUUUAUUUUAUUGUUUCCUCCCAUGAUGCACCAACACAACAUGUCUACGACAUGUUUUGCCCAUCACCCUUUGUCCAUCCUAAUGUCAUGGCCGGCCACUACUAGAUGGGGGGAAAAUUGGCAUGCAAGUCCCCCCUUUUUCAACAUGCACUAAUAGGUCCUUAUGUUUUGAUCUAUCACAUUUCAAAAAUGUCACACAUAAGUCCUAUUGACUAAAUUCACAUGAAAUUUACUAAAUCGAAGCUUAAAAUUU